CUAGCCGUAAACGAUGGAUACUAGGCGUUGUGAGUAUCGACCCUCACAGUGUCGUGGCUAACGCGUUAAGUAUCCCGCCUGGGGAGUACGCGCGCAAGCGUGAAACUCAAAGGAAUUGACGGGGGCCCGCACAAGCGGUGGAGUAUGUGGUUUAAUUCGAUGCAACGCGAAGAACCUUACCAGGACUUGACAUGUCGCGAAUCUCAGGGAAACUUGAGAGUGCCUUCGGGAGCGCGAACACAGGUGGUGC
rnacentral:rRNA from 1 species